AUCCAGUUGAUGAGUCCCAAGUAGGACGAAACGCCCGUCUUGGAU
rnacentral:hammerhead_ribozyme from 1 species